rnacentral:rRNA from 1 species
CGCCUUUUGCAAAAUUCAUGAAUAAGAGGUCAAGCCUGCCCACUGACAUAUGUUCAACGGCCGCGGUAUUUUAACCGUGCGAAGGUAGCGUAAUCAUUUGUCCUUUAAAUGGGGACCAGUAUGAAUGGCUUCACGAGGGCUUAACUGUCUCCUUUCUCUAGUCAAUGAAAUUGAUCUCCCCGUGCAGAAGCGGGGAUACAAACAUAAGACGAGAAGACCCUGUGGAGCUUUAGACACGAAGGAGCAUCAUGUAAAGAACCAUCAGAUAAAAAAUUCAACUUAUGAUUAUCUGCCUGAAUGUCUUAGGUUGGGGUGACCAUGGGGGAACACGAAGCCCCCACGAGGAAAGGGAGAACGACUUCCACAAUCAAGAGCCUGCCCUCUAACGACCAGAACUUCUGACCUUUAGGAUCCAGCAAAGCUGAUCAACGAACCAAGUUACCCCAGGGAUAACAGCGCAAUCCUCUUCUAGAGCCCAUAUCGACGAGGGGGUUUACGACCUCGAUGUUGGAUCAGGACAUCCUAAUGGCGCAGCCACUAUUAAGGGUUCGUUUGUUCAACGAUUAAAGUCCU